CUUACACAUGCAGUCGAGGGGCAGCAUGGUCUUAGCUUGCUAAGGCCGAUGGCGACCGGCGCACGGGAGAGUAACACGUAUCCAACCUGCCGUCUACUCUUGGACAGCCUUCUGAAAGGAAGAUUAAUACAAGAUGGCAUCAUGAGUCCGCAUGUUCACAUGAUUAAAGGUAUUCCGGUAGACGAUGGGGAUGCGUUCCAUUAGGUAGUAGGCGGGGUAACGGCCCACCUAGUCUUCGAUGGAUAGGGGUUCUGAGAGGAAGGUCCCCCACAUUGGAACUGAGACACGGUCCAAACUCCUACGGGAGGCAGCAGUGAGGAAUAUUGGUCAAUGGGCGAGAGCCUGAACCAGCCAAGUAGCGUGAAGGAUGACUGCCCUAUGGGUUGUAAACUUCUUUUAUAAAGGAAUAAAGUCGGGUAUGCAUACCCGUUUGCAUGUACCUUAUGAAUAAGGAUCGGCUAACUCCGUGCCAGCAGCCGCGGUAAUACGGAGGAUCCGAGCGUUAUCCGGAUUUAUUGGGUUUAAAGGGAGCGUAGAUGGAUGUUUAAGUCAGUUGUGAAAGUUUGCGGCUCAACCGUAAAAUUGCAGUUGAUACUGGAUAUCUUGAGUGCAGUUGAGGCAGGCGGAAUUCGUGGUGUAGCGGUGAAAUGCUUAGAUAUCACGAAGAACUCCGAUUGCGAAGGCAGCCUGCUAAGCUGCAACUGACAUUGAGGCUCGAAAGUGUGGGUAUCAAACAGGAUUAGAUACCCUGGUAGUCCACACGGUAAACGAUGAAUACUCGCUGUUUGCGAUAUACAGCAAGCGGCCAAGCGAAAGCGUUAAGUAUUCCACCUGGGGAGUACGCCGGCAACGGUGAAACUCAAAGGAAUUGACGGGGGCCCGCACAAGCGGAGGAACAUGUGGUUUAAUUCGAUGAUACGCGAGGAACCUUACCCGGGCUUAAAUUGCAGAUGAAUUACGGUGAAAGCCGUAAGCCGCAAGGCAUCUGUGAAGGUGCUGCAUGGUUGUCGUCAGCUCGUGCCGUGAGGUGUCGGCUUAAGUGCCAUAACGAGCGCAACCCUUGUUGUCAGUUACUAACAGGUUCCGCUGAGGACUCUGACAAGACUGCCAUCGUAAGAUGUGAGGAAGGUGGGGAUGACGUCAAAUCAGCACGGCCCUUACGUCCGGGGCUACACACGUGUUACAAUGGGGGGUACAGAGGGCCGCUACCACGCGAGUGGAUGCCAAUCCCCAAAACCUCUCUCAGUUCGGACUGGAGUCUGCAACCCGACUCCACGAAGCUGGAUUCGCUAGUAAUCGCGCAUCAGCCACGGCGCGGUGAAUACGUUCCCGGGCCUUGUACACACCGCCCGUCAAGCCAUGGGAGCCGGGGGUACCUGAAGUGCGUAACCGCGAGGAGCGCCCU
rnacentral:rRNA from 1 species